rnacentral:tRNA from 1 species
GCCAUGGUGCGGAAAGGCAGAUGCGUUAGAUUCAGGUUCUAGUGUCCGAAAGAGCGUGUGGGUUCGACUCCCACUCACGGCA